CUGGGGCUGUAAGAAGCAGCAGUUGGCUAUUUCCUCUUCAGGCUUAUUGUCUGGGCCGGGGCACAGACAAGGGGACUGAUCAAAAACUCUUAACGUUUAUAUUCACUAUGAGAUCCAAGGGGAGACUGUGAUUCACAAUUGUGAGUGGAACAAGGGGGGUAUGACCUCACGAACCCAAUGCCUGAGACAUCUGGAGGCCUAAGGACCAAAUCACAAACACGGCGUGAACAAGAAAGACGAGGCAGGAAAGCACCCCCUCUUCCUAAGCUCCCGUGGGGAUCAUCUAAGAAAUACCAAUCCUGGGUUUUCUCCCUACCAUGUGCAUGGUCUUGGUGUCGAAGAACUCUCCAGGUGAUCUUCGAGUGUUUCUGGGGGAGGCCAAUGGGAUUCUCCGCUUUGAGAUUUCACAGGAGACACAGAAACUUCAAGCAAGGAUCCCGGCAGCUGCAGUUUUUCCUAGCAUCGUUAACUGAAAAAAUACUUCAGCCUUCCACCUGUGUGACUUUUGCCUGCACCUUCUGCACUUGGGAUGCUUUCUAGGGGGUGACUGGUGUUGCAAGGAAAAUUAUUUGAAAAUAAAAAUGAAGGCACCCCA